rnacentral:rRNA from 1 species
AACGAACGCUGGCGGCAUGCCUAACACAUGCAAGUCGAGGGGUAUAGUUCUUCGGAACUAGAGACCGGCGCACGGGUGCGUAACGCGUAUGCAAUCUACCUUUUACAGAGGGAUAGCCCAGAGAAAUUUGGAUUAAUACCUCAUAGUAUGUGAGAAUCGCAUGGUUUUCACAUUAAAGUUCCAACGGUAAAAGAUGAGCAUGCGUCCCAUUAGCUAGAUGGUGAGGUAACGGCUCACCAUGGCGACGAUGGGUAGGGGGCCUGAGAGGGUGGUCCCCCACACUGGUACUGAGACACGGACCAGACUCCUACGGGAGGCAGCAGUGAGGAAUAUUGGUCAAUGGGCGCAAGCCUGAACCAGCCAUGCCGCGUGCAGGAAGACGGUCCUAUGGAUUGUAAACUGCUUUUAUUGGGAAUAAACCUAUCUACGUGUAGAUAGCUGAAGGUACCAAAUGAAUAAGCACCGGCUAACUCCGUGCCAGCAGCCG